rnacentral:rRNA from 1 species
AGAGUUUGAUCCUGGCUCAGAUCGAACGCUGGCGGCGUGGCUAAAACAUGCAAGUCGCACGGGAAACCCCGCAAGGGGCGGUACAGUGGCGAAAGGGCGAGCAAUACAUGGGUAACGUACCUUUGGUACAGGGAUAGCUGCGGGAAACUGCAGGUAAUACCUGAUGAGACCACAAGCGUCAUAUGGCGCAGCGGUCAAGGGGUGGGGCUCCUUCGGGACCUACUGACCUUAGAGCGGCCCAUGUCCUAUCAGCUAGUUGGUGAGGUAACGGCUCACCAAGGCGACGACGGGUACCGGGACUGAGAGGUCGGCCCGGCGCAUUGGGACUGAGACACUGCCCAGACUCCUACGGGAGGCUGCAGUAACGAAUCUUCCGCAAUGGGCGAAAGCCUGACGGAGCGACGCCGCGUGUGGGAUGAAGUUCUUCGGAAUGUAAACCACUGUUAGGGACUACCAAGCAAUGAGGGCGAAUAGCCUUCAAAGUUAAGGAGGCCCAAAGAAAGCCACGGCUAACUUCGUGCAGCAGCCGCGGUAAUACGAAGGUGGCGAGCGUUGAUCGGAAUCACUGGGCUUAAAGAGAACGUAGGCGGCCCAUCAAGUGCCUUGUGAAAUCCCCCGGCUUAACCGGGGAAUUGCUCGGUAGACUAAUUGGGCUUGAGGUUGGUAGGGGCGCGUGGAACUCUUGGUGGAGCGGUGGAAUGCGUAGAUAUCAAGAGGAACGCCAGAGGCGAAAGCGACGCGCUGGGCCUGCUCUGACGCUGAGGUUCGAAAGCCAGGGGAGCAAACGGGAUUAGAUACCCCGGUAGUCCUGGCCCUAAACGUUGUCCACUAGGUCGAAGGUUCUCUGACGGAUUUUUGGCCGGAACGAAAGCGUUAAGUGGACCGCCUGGGGAGUACGGUCGCAAGGCUAAAACUCAAAGGAAUUGACGGGGGCUCACACAAGCGGUGGAGCAUGUUGCUUAAUUCGAUUCAACGCGAAGAACCUUAUCCUGGGCUUGACAUGCUUGGAUACCUACCUGGAAACAGAAUAGGUUGCCCUUCGGGGUGAAACUUGCACAGGUGCUGCAUGGCUGUCGUCAGCUCGUGUCGUGAGAUGUUGGGUUAAGUCCCAUAACGAGCGAAACCCUUGUCGUUAGUUGCCAACGCGUUAUGGCGGGGACUCUAGCGAGACUGCCGGUGUUAAACCGGAGGAAGGCGUGGAUGACGUCAAGUCCUCAUGGCCUUUAUGCCCAGGGCUGCAAACGUGCUACAAUGACCGGGACAAACCGACGCAAGACCGCGAGGUGGAGCAAAUCGGAGAAACCCGGCCUCAGUUCGGAUUGGAGUCUGCAACUCGACUCCAUGAAGCUGGAAUCGCUAGUAAUCGCAGAUCAGCUAUGCUGCGGUGAAUGUGUUCCUGAGCCUUGUACACACCGCCC